CUGGGAUCUUUGGAUCAUCAUCUUCAUCCGCAAGAAACGGAGCGAGAAAUCAGCCUACAAAGCAGCCUCAGCAAGUGACCAGGGGUCCAACAGCUCCGCCAGCGUUUCAUACCAGCCCAGUGUGUGAGAUGAGACCAGAAGGAGCCUGCCCAAGUUUGGCUGUGAAUUGCAGAGGCUCAGAUCCCCUCCCGUCCUUAAAUGCUGUUUCUGAUGUUUCUUAAUCCUGGUUCUCACCCAUCUAUUCUGACUUCAGCUGUAACUUGUAUUUGAGGAUAAUCAUGUUUUUCGGAUGGAUUUUGGCCAAUUUUGCUUUGCAACUGAUUUUCAGAAAUGUUCUUGUAUUAAUCAGAAAUGUGCCAGAUAUACGCAACUAAAAGCUUUAAAAAGGGAUGAGGAGAUUGAGCAUGACUUGCAGUGAUUUUGAAGGUUUCUCUUGGUUCUUUGCUGCUGUGUUUCCCUCUACAAUCCCUUCUCCAAUCUUGUGUCCCUCGCUUGCCAUCCAAAUUGAAGGAAAGACAACAUUUGAGAACUGCUUUAGGGGUAUUAUGUGUGAAAUAGCCUACGUUGUUACUGCCUGCCUGCCUCUUGGGACGCCCAGCCUUAGGCUAAACGGAUGUAAUGUCUGAUCCUGCUGACAACCAAGGAGAAAGCCAUCAAGGAGGAGAGGCAGAUCAGGAGCUUCAUGGCCAGUUUGAUCUGAAAUAAGCAGCCCCUUCUUUUUGACUACAGGCCUUCAGUUCAUGAGACUUGUUGCCUGGUCCCCACAGCCUUCUAGGAGGGGAGACCCACUGGGGGAGGGACCACAUGAACUCCUCCAAGUAAACUAGUUUUGUUGGCCUUCAAUUUGCCUAAUUUUUAUCUCGCACAUUCUUGCUUUCUCACCUGUGGUCGGUUGAGGAUCAUACUUUGCCUCUCUGCGGUUCCCUCCAUAUGAUUCCCGCCAUCUUCCUUCCCUGCUCAUAGACUGGCAUUCCUUCAGGAAACUUUCAUAGAAAUAAGAAUGCAAUAACUCUUUUAGACCUCCAGGGGCUGCAGGACUCUUCUUGCCCAACCCAAUGGAUUUGCUGCAUCUUGCUUUGAAGACACUGGAUGUAAUUAUUAUUAUCAUUACUCCUUUUGUAAUAUCUGUUUGACUGAAAUAAAUAAGAGUGCACCCCCUU